rnacentral:ncRNA from 1 species
UAAAUGGUCCUUUUCAGGGCCAUCAACAUUUCACAAAAAGAUUCU